rnacentral:rRNA from 1 species
UGGGGAAUAUUGCACAAUGGGCGGAAGCCUGAUGCAGCGACGCCGCGUGGGGGAUGAAGGCCUUCGGGUUGUAAACUCCUUUCGACAGGGACGAAGCUUUUGUGACGGUACCUGUAUAAGAAGCACCGGCUAACUACGUGCCAGCAGCCGCGGUAAUACGUAGGGUGCGAGCGUUGUCCGGAAUUACUGGGCGUAAAGAGCUCGUAGGUGGUUCGUCGCGUCGUCUGUGAAAUUCCGGGGCUUAACUCCGGGCGUGCAGGCGAUACGGGCGGACUUGAGUGCUGUAGGGGAGACUGGAAUUCCUGGUGUAGCGGUGAAAUGCGCAGAUAUCAGGAGGAACACCGAUGGCGAAGGCAGGUCUCUGGGCAGUAACUGACGCUGAGGAGCGAAAGCAUGGGUAGCGAACAGG